UGGGGAGCCGAAAGGCGAAGAACC
rnacentral:misc_RNA from 1 species